UCAAGUGAAGAACUCUUCUGACAAAGAUGCUUCGUCUGCUUCAUUGGGGUGUAAGACAACUGACGAACCGCUUGCUAAUAGAGCCGCUUCUACCAGUGACCUUUCUGCUGGACAAAGAUGUGGUUCUACAAGAAAUGGAAGUUUGAUGAUCUGUUCGGUGCUUCAUCUGAACCGGAACUCACCGCCAUUAAGAACCUUAUCACUGAUUGUAUCUCUUUUUCUGCAUGCCCGGUGUCUCUUCUCACUGCUCUCAAACUUUGGAUCGCUGAGGUGUCUUCUUCCAUGGAGUCCCUUCCUUUUGCCCUCGCUGAUACAUCGGUCAAUUGAGCUAAUGAAGGUCUUGAUUCCAUAGGUGAUAUGGGGAUACUCCCAUGCCAGACCGGAGAGUUUGUUUCCUACUGCCCUCUUGGAGGGCGAUGCGCUGUCCAUUUACCGUGCUCCUGAUGUAGCGAAGAUUAAGGUUGUUGUCUUUUCGAUCGGAGCUUACAAGGCUCCUGGCAUUGAUGGUUUUCAGGCCUGUUUUUAUCAGAGAUUUUGGGAUAUCAUUGCCCAGGAUGUGUGCAAAUUUGUUAGGGAUUUCUUUCUUCAGGGUACCCUGCCAUUUGGGGCCAAUCACACCCUUCUUUGUCUAAUUCCUAAAAAAGAACUUGCUUCAAUCAUUAAGGACUUUCACCCGAGUAGCCUCUGUAAUGUUAACUAUAUGAUCAUUGGAAAAUUAUUGGCAAACCAAUUAAAA